AACAACUUCAGCCUCUUGAAAACUGAAUGUGUGAUUAUGCUCCUGUAUAUGUACCCAGAUCUGAGAGCGCUGUUCUUUGCAUCGGACAGCCAG